AUGAUGGGGGUGAGAGUGGCCACUGUCAAGGCUCUGAUGAUACUGGUUGCAGUGUUUAUUAUCUGCGCCAGCGGCGGCCUGGUUCUGUCGCCGACGGCCGCGGAGGAGGUGCCCCUGGUGCCGGCGGUGUACGUGUUCGGCGACUCUACCAUGGACGUGGGCAACAACAUGUACCUGGGGAACUUUCCGCUGCCGUAUCCCCCGUUUCCCUACGGCAUCGAUUUCACGGGUCCCGGACCCAACGGAAGGUUCAGCAAUGGAUACAACAUGGCCGACUCCAUAUCGAAGCUGUUGGGUUUCGAUAUGAGCCCGCCGCCUUUCCUGUCAUUGACGCCGGAGACAAGUGGUGAGAUCCUGAAAGGCUUGGGCGGGGUCAACUACGCUUCCGGUGGAUCCGGCAUUCUCGACACCACCCAUAAUGCCUCCCUCCCGUUGAGCAAGCAGGUAGAGUACUUCGCGGACACCAAGGCAAACAUGACAGAGGAAAGCGGCGGUAAUGGCACCGACAUCGAUGCGCUGCUGUCCAAGUCGCUCUUCCUCAUUAGCGACGGCGGCAACGAUAUGCUUGUGUUCUACGUGAAUAAUCCGCUGGGCGAUGCUCAGCCCUUCUACGACGACCUUGUGUCCAACUACACCAAGUAUGUCAAGACGUUGUAUGGGCUCGGGGCGCGGCGUUUUGGUGUCAUCGACGUGCCGCCCAUCGGCUGCGUGCCGGUGCUGCGGGCGAAACUCUUACCAUGGGGCGAGAACAACUGCUUAUUGCUCGCAAACCACCUCGCUGGGGGCUUCAACGAGAAGUUGAGCGGCGCCAUGGCGGAGCUCGCCGCGUCGCUGCCCGGGAUGAAGUACUCUGUGGGGAGCUCCUACAAGCUGGUGCUAAACUUCACGGGGCCGCCGGAGGCCGCCGGGUUCAAUAAUGUGAACAGCGCGUGCUGCGGCGGCGGGAAUCUCGGAGGGCAGGCCAUCUGCAGCUCCCCCAAUACCACCUACUGCGACAACCGCGACGACCAUCUGUUCUGGGACGGGUUGCACUGCACCCAGGCAGCCUCCAACAAGGGCGCCAAAGCCAUCUAUGACGCGCCGCUGGAGGAAGGAUUCGCCGCACCCAUCAAUUUCAAGCAGCUGCUUCUUGGUGAUCAACCCACAAGCGUCAGCCAUUAA
rnacentral:rRNA from 1 species